rnacentral:rRNA from 1 species
AAUGAACGCUUUUGACACGCAUAACACAUGCAAACUAAUUAGUAUUCGUUAAUAUGGUGUACGGGCGUGUAAUGUAGAAGAAUUUUUAUCGGUUCUAGUAUCCUAAGUAAACUUCUAUAGAAUUAAGUUGUUGGUGGGGUAAAGGACUUACCAAGCUUAUGAUUCUUAACUAUUUUGUAAGAUUGAAUAGUCGCAAUAAAACUAGAAACAAGGUUUAA